rnacentral:rRNA from 1 species
AUUGAACGCUGGCGGCAGGCCUAACACAUGCCAGUCGAGCGGAUGAGGGAGCUUGCUCCUGGAUUCAGCGGCGGACGGGUGAGUAAUGCCUAGGAAUCUGCCUGGUAGUGGGGGAUAACGUCCGGAAACGGGCGCUAAUACCGCAUACGUCCUGAGGGAGAAAGUGGGGGAUCUUCGGACCUCACGCUAUCAGAUGAGCCUAGGUCGGAUUAGCUAGUUGGUGGGGUAAAGGCCUACCAAGGCGACGAUCCGUAACUGGUCUGAGAGGAUGAUCAGUCACACUGGAACUGAGACACGGUCCAGACUCCUACGGGAGGCAGCAGUGGGGAAUAUUGGACAAUGGGCGAAAGCCUGAUCCAGCCAUGCCGCGUGUGUGAAGAAGGUCUUCGGAUUGUAAAGCACUUUAAGUUGGGAGGAAGGGCAGUAAGUUAAUACCUUGCUGUCUUGACGUUACCAACAGAAUAAGCACCGGCUAACUUCGUG